GAACCUCCAAAAAGCCAAUCGGUCAACGUUCUUCAACCUCCGCCAUGGCCACACGUGAGACUCCGGCUCUCUCGCGAAUUCCCGUACUUUUCCUCUACAAUGAGGAAUUCGGGGACCUUGAAAGCCGAGUGUUGAAGGAUUCAGUUUGGUGAACAUUAGAAGAUUAUGAAGGAAACCAAUACAGAUAGGUUAUUAACCCAAACGCUCCGGGUCGUUGAUAACUGGCCCGCGAUGCAUUUCCGGGAGGCUACUGCGUAGGCCUAAACUCAUUCCGGGGUCUUAUCUCAUCUUAUGACGCCCGGCAUCGAGAUGCCGUCACCAUACAUGACGACUGGAGUUUGGGCCAAGAAGGUGACGUCUACUCUGCAUGCCAUCUGGAUGAGUUGGGUUAACAUGAGACUUCAGGGCUGCAUUACAACCCAGCUACCAAGCAGUAGCACGGCUAGCUGACAUGACCUGCUCUUGUUGAUGUUGUCUAACAGAUACAGAGGUUGGCUGGCUUGCUUGCUUGCAAUGCUUGAAGUGAUUUGGACGCAACAGCAAAAGUUAUACAUGGCCUGUGAAUAACAAUGGGUCUACUUGAGGGAGGCAGUAAGAAGAUGGAAAAUGUUACCCAAGAUAAAGGCUGACUGAAGAAAUAUAGAAAAGCUGGAGGAAGUGUAAGAAAGGAUACCAGGAGCAGGUGGAGAAUGGUUCUACAAACUAUCACAUGUGAUAAAGUGUAAUAAAGAUUUAUUUAAA
rnacentral:lncRNA from 1 species